rnacentral:lncRNA from 1 species
CCCCAGAGCGGGGCUGGCCCCGCGGCCGUGGGCACCGUUCCGGCCCGGCCCGGCGACGAGCGGUGAGGGCGAGCAGUGCCUGCUCUUGCAGCGCCUGCUCUCACAGGCAGCUGUUCAAUUAAAACUCUGGUAACCUCCCCAGAGGUCAAAGACGCUGCAGGUUGAAAGCCUACCGGGGCAGGUCUUCACCCCUUUCCUUCACCUUCUGUGGUAGCACGUGUUCCCUCCUCCUCCAUCAGCACGCCACCUGCUCCAAUACCAUUUUGCCACCUUCCCCCCUCAACUGUCUCUCCCUGUCCUGGAAGCGAACCGUGAUGUGACUUCCUGCCACGAAGCCUUUGGUGAAUGCUGUGGGCAAAGCUGGGUUAUCAUCCACAUGUAGAUCCUGCUGUGGGAUUACGACUGGAAAUGUUCCCGUUACCUGCUGCCUCCUGGGAAAGUUUCCCAUCCCAGGACUGCUGCUGCUCACAGUUCCUAACAGCUGAUCCCAGCUUGGGGGACUGAGGAACCUGGGGACAUGGAGAAUGAUUGCUUGCCUUUACCCCCUUGGUGCAGCCUCUCCUGGGUAUGUAAAAGCAAACAGUGGGAUUGUUUGUUACUAUUUAUGUUCUGUCAUUCCCUGAAGGACCAAAAAUUUUAGUUCUCGAAGGUCUGUUUUUACUGAAAGUGUCAGAUUGAAAAAAAGGUGGUUGAUAAAAUGUGGGAAACAGGCAAAGAAUUAAGACAGUUCCCUGAGUACCUGUGAAAUUCUCCUCUCAUUUCUGCCUGCGACACCCCUUCCUGUCCACAUCCCCUUGCUUACUUUCAUCAAAAGCAGCUUUCAGCCAAGCAGCAUGAACCAGGAUUUAGGAACUGGCAAUGAGGAGCAGAAAUGAAGAUGGAUUACUUCAGCAUUGCUAGCAUUUAACAACUAUCCCUGACACCUGGUUGGCUAAAGCAC